UACAGAGGUCUCAAGCGUUGUUCGGAUUCAUUGGGCGUAAAGGGUGCGUAGGCGGCGCGGUAAGUCGGAUGUGAAAUCUCGGGCUUAACUCCGAAACUGCAUUCGAUACUGCCGUGCUUGAGGACUGGAGAGGAGACUGGAAUUUACGGUGUAGCGGUGAAAUGCGUAGAUAUCGUAAGGAAGACCCAGUGGCGGAAGGCGGGUCUCUGGACAGUUCCCUGACGCUGAGGCGACGAAGGCCAGGGGAGCAAACGGG
rnacentral:rRNA from 1 species